GCUGACUCUCUUUUCGGACUCAGCCCGCCUGCACCCAGGUGAAAUAAACAGCCUCGUUGCUCACACAAAGCCUGUUUGGUGGUCUCUUCACACGGACGCGCAUGAAAUUUGGUGCCGUGACUCGGAUCGGGGGACCUCCCUUGGGAGAUCAAUCCCCUGUCCUCCUGCUCUUUGCUCCGUGAGAAAGAUCCACCUACGACCUCAGGUCCUCAGACCAACCAGCCCAAGAAACAUCUCACCAAUUUCAAAUCCGGUAAGCGGCCUCUUUUUACUCUGUUCUCCAACCUCCCUCACUAUCCCUCAACCUCUUUCUCCUUUCAAUCUUGGCGCCACACUUCAAUCUCUCCCUUCUCUUAAUUUCAAUUCCUUUCAUUCUCUGGUAGAGACAAAAGAGACAUGUUUUAUCCGUGAACCCAAAACUCCGGCGCCGGUCACGGACUGGGAAGGCAGUCUUCCCUUGGUGUUUAAUCAUUGCAGGGACGCCUCUCUGAUUUCACGUUUCAGACCACGCAGGGAUGCCUGCCUUGGUCCUUCACCCUUAGCGGCAAGUCCCGCUUUCCUGGGGCAGGGGCAAGUACCCCUCAACCCCUUCUCCUUCACCCUUAGCGGCAAGUCCCGCUUUUCUGGGGCAGGGGCAAGUACCCCUCAACCCCUUCUCCUUCACCCUUAGCAGCAAGUCCCGCUUUCCUAGGGGGCAAGAACCCCCCAAUCGCUUAUUUUCACGCCCCAACCUCUUAUCUCUGUGCCCCAAUCCCUUAUUUCCACGCCCCAAUCUCUUAUCUCUGCGCCCCAAUCCCUUAUUUCCGCGCCCCAACCCUUUCUCUGCUUUUCUGGAGGGGAAGAAACCCCCACCCCUUCUCCGUGUCUCUACUCUUUUCUCUGGGCUUGCCUCCUUCACUAUGGGCAAGCUUCCACCUUCCAUUCCUUUCUUCUCCCUUAGCAUGUAUUCUUAAGAACUUAAAAUCUCUUCAAUUCUCACCUGACCUAAAAUCUAAGCGUCUUAUUUUCUUCUGCAAUGCCACUUGACCCCAAUACAAACUCAACAGUAGUUCCAAAUAGCCAGAAAAUGGCACUUUCAAUUUUUCCACCCUACAAGAUCUAAAUAAUUCUUGGCGUAAAAUGGGCAAAUGGUGUGAGGUGCCUGACGUCCAGGCAUUCUUUUACACAUCAGUCCCUUCCUAGUCUCUGUGCCCAGUGCAACUCGUCCCAAAUCUUCCUUCUUUCCCUCCCGCCUGUCCCCUCAGUACCAACCCCAAGCGUCACUGAGUCUUUCUAAUCUUCCUUUUCUACAGACCCAUCUGACCUCUCCCUUCCUCCCCAGGCUGCUCCUUGCCAGGCCGAGCUAGGUCCCAAUUCUUCCUCAGCCUCUGCUCCUCCACCCUAUAAUCUUUUUAUCACCUCCCCUCCUCACACCUGCUCCGGCUUACAGUUUCAUUCCGUGACUAGCCCUCCCCGACCUGCCCAGCAAUUUAUUCUUAAAAAGGUGGCUGGAGCUAAACGCAUAGUCAAGGUUAAUGCUCCUUUUUCUUUAUCCCAAAUCAGAUAGUGUUUAGGCUCUUUUUCAUCAAAUAUAAAAAUCUAGCCCAGUUCAUGGCUCGUUUGGCAGCAACCCUAAGACACUUUACAGCCCUAGCCCCUAAAAGGUCAAAAGGCCAUCUUAUUCUCAAUAUACAUUUUAUUACCCAAUCUGCUCCCGACAUUAAAUAAAACUCCAAAAACUGGAAUCUGGCCCUCAAACCCCACAACAGGACUUAAUUAACCUCACCUUCAAGGUGUGAAAUAACAGAAAAAAGUUGCAAUUCCUUGCCUCCACUGUGAGACAAACCCCAGCCACAUCUCCAGCACACAAGAACUUCCAAACGCCUGAACUGUAGCAGCCAGACGUUUCUCCAGAACCUCCUCCCCCAGGAACUUGCUACACAUGCCGGAAAUCUGGCCACUGGGCCAAGGAACGCCCGCAGCCCGGGAUUCCUCCUAAGCCGCGUCCCAUCUGUGUGGGACCCCACUGAAAAUCGGACUGUUCAACUCACCUGGCAGCCACUCCCAGAGCUCCUGGAACUCUGGCCCAAGGUUCUCUGACUGACUCCUUCUUGGCUUACUGGCUGAAGACUGACGCUGCCUGAUCGCCUCAGAAGCCCCGCAGACCAUCAUGGACGCCGAGCUUUAGCCCGCCUGCACCCAGGUGAAAUAAACAGCCUUGUUGCUCACACAAAGCCUGUUUGGUGGUCUCUUCACACAGACGCGCAUGAAAGGGAAGACAUACAAAAACAAGGCCUCUGAGGUAGGUACUACUGAGACAGCCAGGUGGGAAGGACUCCUUGGCAAAACUCCAACCAGCCUGUACACUGGGAGGAAUGUGCACUGGGAUGGAGCCAUAGAAGUUUGUGUCGUUUGCAGUGGGGAGGAGCCUGGUCCCUCCUCUUCCUGUGAGGAACCUGGAAUUCAAUCUGUGAGGAACUUCUUGAAAGACCCAUCAAUUCUUCAAUAGAAAGCAUCAAAGGACAAUUUACACCCUAAGACUGAACCCCUGACCUCAAAAUCUUUCCCUUGCUAUGUUCACCAACCUCAACAGAAAUAUUAGGAUUCUUACCUGAUCCUAGCCAAGCCCCCUCCCUCAUCUCCCAUUAAAGGGUCCAUCUUCAACCAAACUUAAGUCUCAAUAAAUAUCUGGACAUUGUCCUUCCAACUCUGGGAAGCUGCUAAGACUCUGUCCUUACUGCAGAAGAAAAAACAGCCUUGUACCCUGGUCUUCUCAACAGGUUGUUCUGGAGAUGUUCUGGGGAGACUGCAUUAAACACAGCUUCGCACCAUUGAAUAAACUCAGCAACAAGCCAAUGCAUAAAAGUAAUCUAUGCUUCAGGUCACAGAAGCUUCAAGGGGAAAAAAACAGAAUACUCUAGGGCCAUUGUUCACAAACUCAUCUGAAAACAUCCUGGAAAAAUUUUCCCAAACACAUGGAAAGAAAGAGAGGAAAAAAGAAGAUAUCUGAAUAAUGUGGACUAGAAUAAAGAGCUGCCAGGAGCUGUUUAUUUAAAAACAGUACUUUCUUCUCUGGCUGAGUCCCUGGUAUUCUCUGCUGCAAUCUGUAGCUGUAGAAUUUUGAAGAAUGCAAUUAAAUUCAAAUGGUUUGAUGAGUAAAAAAAAAAAAAAAAA
rnacentral:lncRNA from 1 species